rnacentral:rRNA from 1 species
CUUAGGAUUGUAAAAUUCUUUCACCGGGGACGAUAAUGACGGUACCCGGAGAAGAAGCCCCGGCUAACUUCGUGCCAGCAGCCGCGGUAAUACGAAGGGGGCUAGCGUUGCUCGGAAUUACUGGGCGUAAAGGGAGCGUAGGCGGACUGUUUAGUCAGAGGUGAAAGCCCAGGGCUCAACCUUGGAAUUGCCUUUGAUACUGGCAGUCUUGAGUACGGAAGAGGUAUGUGGAACUCCGAGUGUAGAGGUGAAAUUCGUAGAUAUUCGGAAGAACACCAGUGGCGAAGGCGACAUACUGGUCCGUUACUGACGCUGAGGCUCGAAAGCGUGGGGAGCAAACAGGAUUAGAUACCCUGGUAGUCCACGCCGUAAACGAUGAGUGCUAGUUGUCGGCAUGCAUGCAUGUCGGUGACGCAGCUAACGCAUUAAGCACUCCGCCUGGGGA